rnacentral:rRNA from 1 species
UACGGAGGGUGCAAGCGUCAAUCGGAAUUACUGGGCGUAAAGCGCACGUAGGCUGCUUUGUAAGUCAGGGGUGAAAUCCCACGGCUCAACCGUGGAACUGCCUUUGAUACUGCUUAGCUUGAAUCCGGGAGAGGGUGGCGGAAUUCCAGGUGUAGGAGUGAAAUCCGUAGAUAUCUGGAGGAACAUCAGUGGCGAAGGCGGCCACCUGGACCGGUAUUGACGCUGAGGUGCGAAAGCGUGGGGAGCAAACAGG